UGACCUCGAUCAGGAGGACC
rnacentral:rRNA from 1 species